GACGGAGGAUGCAAGCGUUAUCCGGAAUGAUUGGGCGUAAAGAGCUCGUAGGCGGCUUGUUGCGUCGACCGUGAAAACCCGUGGCUCAACUGCGGGCUUGCGGUCGAUACGGGCGGGCUAGAGUUCGGUAGGGGAGACUGGAAUUCCUGGUGUAGCGGUGAAAUGCGCAGAUAUCUGGAGGAACACCGGUGGCGAAGGCGGCAUCCUGGACCAACACUGACGCUGAGAAGCGAAAGCAUGGGGAGCGAAACAGG
rnacentral:rRNA from 1 species